AUACUCUGGCUUCUCUUCAGAUCAAAUGUUUUUUUCGCCUUUUACUAAAGAUUCCGUGGAGAGGAACAACCAUGAGUUUUCAAUCAUUUUUGAGGCUCUUCCCCGUGCAGGGC